UUUAUGUGAUGAUUGGGAUAAGUUGCCACUUUAUUGGCCCAUUAAAACCCAAAGAAACUGAGUGCU